GGGUUGUGAGGUUAAGCGACUAAGCGUACACGGUGGAUGCCCUGGCAGUCAGAGGCGAUGAAGGACGUGCUAAUCUGCGAUAAGCGUCGGUGAGGUGAUAUGAACCGUUAUAACCGGCGAUUUCCGAAUGGGGAAACCCAGUGUGUUUCGACACACUAUCAUUAACUGAAUCCAUAGGUUAAUGAGGCGAACCGGGGGAACUGAAACAUCUAAGUACCCCGAGGAAAAGAAAUCAACCGAGAUUCCCCCAGUAGCGGCGAGCGAACGGGGAGGAGCCCAGAGCCUGAAUCAGUGUGUGUGUUAGUGGAAGCGUCUGGAAAGGCGCGCGAUACAGGGUGACAGCCCCGUACACAAAAAUGCACAUAUUGUGAGCUCGAUGAGUAGGGCGGGACACGUGGUAUCCUGUCUGAAUAUGGGGGGACCAUCCUCCAAGGCUAAAUACUCCUGACUGACCGAUAGUGAACCAGUACCGUGAGGGAAAGGCGAAAAGAACCCCGGCGAGGGGAGUGAAAAAGAACCUGAAACCGUGUACGUACAAGCAGUGGGAGCCUCUUAAUGGGGUGACUGCGUACCUUUUGUAUAAUGGGUCAGCGACUUAUAUUCUGUAGCAAGGUUAACCGAAUAGGGGAGCCGGAGGGAAACCGAGUCUUAACUGGGCGUUAAGUUGCAGGGUAUAGACCCGAAACCCGGUGAUCUAGCCAUGGGCAGGUUGAAGGUUGGGUAACACUAACUGGAGGACCGAACCGACUAAUGUUGAAAAAUUAGCGGAUGACUUGUGGCUGGGGGUGAAAGGCCAAUCAAACCGGGAGAUAGCUGGUUCUCCCCGAAAGCUAUUUAGGUAGCGCCUCGUGAAUUCAUCUCCGGGGGUAGAGCACUGUUUCGGCAAGGGGGUCAUCCCGACUUACCAACCCGAUGCAAACUGCGAAUACCGGAGAAUGUUAUCACGGGAGACACACGGCGGGUGCUAACGUCCGUCGUGAAGAGGGAAACAACCCAGACCGCCAGCUAAGGUCCCAAAGUCAUGGUUAAGUGGGAAACGAUGUGGGAAGGCCCAGACAGCCAGGAUGUUGGCUUAGAAGCAGCCAUCAUUUAAAGAAAGCGUAAUAGCUCACUGGUCGAGUCGGCCUGCGCGGAAGAUGUAACGGGGCUAAACCAUGCACCGAAGCUGCGGCAGCGACGCUUAUGCGUUGUUGGGUAGGGGAGCGUUCUGUAAGCCUGCGAAGGUGUGCUGUGAGGCAUGCUGGAGGUAUCAGAAGUGCGAAUGCUGACAUAAGUAACGAUAAAGCGGGUGAAAAGCCCGCUCGCCGGAAGACCAAGGGUUCCUGUCCAACGUUAAUCGGGGCAGGGUGAGUCGACCCCUAAGGCGAGGCCGAAAGGCGUAGUCGAUGGGAAACAGGUUAAUAUUCCUGUACUUGGUGUUACUGCGAAGGGGGGACGGAGAAGGCUAUGUUGGCCGGGCGACGGUUGUCCCGGUUUAAGCGUGUAGGCUGGUUUUCCAGGCAAAUCCGGAAAAUCAAGGCUGAGGCGUGAUGACGAGGCACUACGGUGCUGAAGCAACAAAUGCCCUGCUUCCAGGAAAAGCCUCUAAGCAUCAGGUAACAUCAAAUCGUACCCCAAACCGACACAGGUGGUCAGGUAGAGAAUACCAAGGCGCUUGAGAGAACUCGGGUGAAGGAACUAGGCAAAAUGGUGCCGUAACUUCGGGAGAAGGCACGCUGAUAUGUAGGUGAAGCGACUUGCUCGUGGAGCUGAAAUCAGUCGAAGAUACCAGCUGGCUGCAACUGUUUAUUAAAAACACAGCACUGUGCAAACACGAAAGUGGACGUAUACGGUGUGACGCCUGCCCGGUGCCGGAAGGUUAAUUGAUGGGGUUAGCGGUAACGCGAAGCUCUUGAUCGAAGCCCCGGUAAACGGCGGCCGUAACUAUAACGGUCCUAAGGUAGCGAAAUUCCUUGUCGGGUAAGUUCCGACCUGCACGAAUGGCGUAAUGAUGGCCAGGCUGUCUCCACCCGAGACUCAGUGAAAUUGAACUCGCUGUGAAGAUGCAGUGUACCCGCGGCAAGACGGAAAGACCCCGUGAACCUUUACUAUAGCUUGACACUGAACAUUGAGCCUUGAUGUGUAGGAUAGGUGGGAGGCUUUGAAGUGUGGACGCCAGUCUGCAUGGAGCCGACCUUGAAAUACCACCCUUUAAUGUUUGAUGUUCUAACGUUGGCCCCUGAUCGGGGUUGCGGACAGUGUCUGGUGGGUAGUUUGACUGGGGCGGUCUCCUCCUAAAGAGUAACGGAGGAGCACGAAGGUUGGCUAAUCCUGGUCGGACAUCAGGAGGUUAGUGCAAUGGCAUAAGCCAGCUUGACUGCGAGCGUGACGGCGCGAGCAGGUGCGAAAGCAGGUCAUAGUGAUCCGGUGGUUCUGAAUGGAAGGGCCAUCGCUCAACGGAUAAAAGGUACUCCGGGGAUAACAGGCUGAUACCGCCCAAGAGUUCAUAUCGACGGCGGUGUUUGGCACCUCGAUGUCGGCUCAUCACAUCCUGGGGCUGAAGUAGGUCCCAAGGGUAUGGCUGUUCGCCAUUUAAAGUGGUACGCGAGCUGGGUUUAGAACGUCGUGAGACAGUUCGGUCCCUAUCUGCCGUGGGCGCUGGAGAACUGAGGGGGGCUGCUCCUAGUACGAGAGGACCGGAGUGGACGCAUCACUGGUGUUCGGGUUGUCAUGCCAAUGGCACUGCCCGGUAGCUAAAUGCGGAAGAGAUAAGUGCUGAAAGCAUCUAAGCACGAAACUUGCCCCGAGAUGAGUUCUCCCUGAGACUUUAAGUCUCCUGAAGGAACGUUGAAGACGACGACGUUGAUAGGCCGGGUGUGUAAGCGCAGCGAUGCGUUGAGCUAACCGGUACUAAUGAACCGUGAGGCUUAACCUUACAACGCCGAAG
rnacentral:rRNA from 1 species